UGGGGAAUUUUGGACAAUGGGCGCAAGCCUGAUCCAGCCAUACCGCGUGAGUGAAGAAGGCCUUCGGGUUGUAAAGCUCUUUCAGCCGGAAAGAAAUCGCACUGGUUAACACCUUGUGUGGAUGACGGUACCGGAAGAAGAAGCACCGGCUAACUACGUGCCAGCAGCCGCGGUAAUACGUAGGGUGCGAGCGUUAAUCGGAAUUACUGGGCGUAAAGCGUGCGCAGGCGGUUUUGUAAGACAGGCGUGAAAUCCCCGGGCUUAACCUGGGAACUGCGUUUGUGACUGCAAGACUAGAGUGUAGCAGAGGGGGGUAGAAUUCCACGUGUAGCAGUGAAAUGCGUAGAUAUGUGGAGGAAUACCGAUGGCGAAGGCAGCCCCCUGGGCUAACACUGACGCUCAUGCACGAAAGCGUGGGGAGCAAACAGGAUUAGAUACCCUUGUAGUCCCUGAGCGGGCUGGCAAGGCGCAU
rnacentral:rRNA from 1 species